rnacentral:rRNA from 1 species
GAUGAACGCUGGCGGCGUGCCUAAUACAUGCAAGUCGAGCGAACAGACGAGGCGCUUGCUCCUCUGACGUUAGCGGCGGACGGGUGAGUAACACGUGGAUAACCUACCUAUAAGACUGGGAUCACUUCGGGAAACCGGCGCUAAUACCGGAUAAUAUCUUGAACCGCAUUGUUCAAUGGUGAAAGACGGUUUUGCUGUCACUUCUCGAUGCAUCCCGGCCGCAUUAGCUAGUUGUUAAGGUAACGGCCUACCAAGGGAACGAUGCGUAGCCGACCUGAGAGGGUGAUCGGCCACCUGGGAACGGAGACAGGGUCCAUACGCCUGCGGGAGGCAGCAGUAGGGAAUCUUCCGCAAUGGGCGAGAGCUUGACGGAACAACGCCGCGUGAGUGAUGAAGGUGUUCGGAGCGUAAAACUCUGUUAUUAGGGAAGAACAAAUGUGGAAUUAGCUAUGCAGGUCUUGACGGUACCUGAUCAGAAAGCCACGGCUAACUACGUG